rnacentral:rRNA from 1 species
ANAUAAACUKGGGAUUAGAUACCCCACUAUGCAUGGUCGUUAACAUUGAUGGUUUUAUACCCGAAUCAUCCGCCUGGGGACUACGAGCACCAGCUUAAAACCCAAAGGACUUGGCGGUGCUUUAGACCCCCCUAGAGGAGCCUGUUCUAGAACUGAUAACCCCCGUUAAACCUCACCAUCCUUUGUUUAACCCGCCUAUAUACCACCGUCGCCAGCUUACCCUGUGAAGGGAAAAUAGUAAGCAUAAAUGGCAAAGCCAAAAACGUCAGGUCGAGGUGUAGCGAAUGGGAUGGGAAGAAAUGGGCUACAUUCUCUACGCCAGAGAAUACGGAUGGUAAUUUGAAAAAAUUAUCUGAAGGAGGAUUUAGCAGUAAGUAGGGAAUAGAGCGCCCUGAAGCGCGGCCCGGNGCNC